rnacentral:rRNA from 1 species
CGGAGUACCCCUGAAGGAGUUUUCGGACACUGAUGGGACUACUUAGUGGCGGACGGGUGAGUAACGCGUGAGUAACCUGCCUUGGAGUGGGGAAUAACAGCUGGAAACAGCUGCUAAUACCGCAUAAUAUGUCUGUGUCGCAUGGCACUGGACAUCAAAGAUUUAUCGCUCUGAGAUGGACUCGCGUCUGAUUAGCUAGUUGGCGGGGUAACGGCCCACCAAGGCGACGAUCAGUAGCCGGACUGAGAGGUUGGCCGGCCACAUUGGGACUGAGACACGGCCCAGACUCCUACGGGAGGCAGCAGUGGGGAAUAUUGGGCAAUGGGCGCAAGCCUGACCCAGCAACGCCGCGUGAAGGAAGAAGGCUUUCGGGUUGUAAACUUCUUUUCUCAGGGACGAAGCAAGUGACGGUACCUGAGGAAUAAGCCACGGCUAACUACGUGCCAGCAGCCGCGGUAAUACGUAGGUGGCAAGCGUUAUCCGGAUUUACUGGGUGUAAAGGGCGUGUAGGCGGGACUGCAAGUCAGAUGUGAAAACCACGGGCUCAACCUGUGGCCUGCAUUUGAAACUGUAGUUCUUGAGUACUGGAGAGGCAGACGGAAUUCCUAGUGUAGCGGUGAAAUGCGUAGAUAUUAGGAGGAACACCAGUGGCGAAGGCGGUCUGCUGGACAGCAACUGACGCUGAGGCGCGAAAGCGUGGGGAGCAAACAGGAUUAGAUACCCUGGUAGUCCACGCUGUAAACGAUGGAUACUAGGUGUGGGGGGACUGACCCCCUCCGUGCCGCAGUUAACACAAUAAGUAUCCCACCUGGGGAGUACGAUCGCAAGGUUGAAACUCAAAGGAAUUGACGGGGGCCCGCACAAGCGGUGGAGUAUGUGGUUUAAUUCGAAGCAACGCGAAGAACCUUACCAGGGCUUGAC